GGCAAGGAGGUAAAAAUGUAAAAAAAA
rnacentral:misc_RNA from 1 species